rnacentral:rRNA from 2 species
GUGCGAGACCGAUAGCGAACAAGUACCGUGAGGGAAAGAUGAAAAGAACUUUGAAAAGAGAGUUAAAGAGUACCUGAAACUGCUGAAAGGGAACCGAAUCGUUUCCAGUGUCUAUAAUCUGCGGCAUAUUUCAUUGGCGAGUAGAUGUGUGUAGCGUUUUGUAAGUAGUUUUCUGCUGCUGGCGUUGCUUUGCGUUUGCUUGUUGGUGCCCUGUGCUGUGUGGGACGUCAGAGUCAGUUCGUAUACUGCGGGAAAUGGCUGCCGAGGAGGUAGGUCGAGAUUUCGGUCUUGGCUGUUAUAUCUUGGUGGUUUGUUGUCGUGGUUGAGACUGAGGUGCCUAC